UAGGGAAUCUUCGGCAAUGGACGAAAGUCUGACCGAGCAACGCCGCGUGAGUGAAGAAGGUUUUCGGAUCGUAAAACUCUGUUGUUAGAGAAGAACAAGGACGUUAGUAACUGAACGUCCCCUGACGGUAUCUAACCAGAAAGCCACGGCUAACUACGUGCCAGCAGCCGCGGUAAUACGUAGGUGGCAAGCGUUGUCCGGAUUUAUUGGGCGUAAAGCGAGCGCAGGCGGUUUCUUAAGUCUGAUGUGAAAGCCCCCGGCUCAACCGGGGAGGGUCAUUGGAAACUGGGGGACUUGAGAGCAGAAGAGGUGAGUGGAAUUGCAUGUGUAGCGGUGAAAUGCGUAGAUAUAUGGGGGAACACCAGUGGCGAAGGCGGCUCUCUGUUCUGUAACUGACGCUGAGGCUUGAAAGCGUGGGGAGCAAACAGG
rnacentral:rRNA from 1 species